rnacentral:rRNA from 1 species
ACUGGGGAGGGUCACGCGAUACUGUUCGACUCGAAGGCAGGAGAGGGAAGCGGAAUUCCCGGUGUAGUGGUGAAAUGCGUAGAUAUCGGGAGGAACACCAGUGGCGAAGGCGGCUUCCUGGCCUGUUCUUGACGCUGAGGCGCGAAAGCUAGGGUAGCAAACGGGAUUAGAUACCCCGGUAGUCCUAGCCGUAAACGAUGAGCGCUGGGUGUAGGGGGUAUUAACCCCCCCUGUGCCGAAGCUAACGCAUUAAGCGCUCCGCCUGGGGAGUACGGUCGCAAGGCUAAAACUCAAAGGAAUUGACGGGGGCCCGCACAAGCAGCGGAGCGUGGGGUUUAAUUCGACGCGACGCGAAGAACCUUACCAGGACUUGACAUGGUCAGGACACCGGCGGAAACGUCGGCUCCCCGCAAGGGGCCUGAUCACAGGUGUUG